CGGGUGAUUUUUGUUUCUCUAUAGUGAUUCUGUAGGUCUGCCUUAUCCUUCAAGUACAUCUUUAGCUUUAUUAGCCAAGUCAACAUGCAAGGAAUGAUAACUAGCGUUCUGCCUUGACAUGUUCUGUACAUAACAAGGUUUUCUGGUAAUCAGGAGCACAACAGGCCCUUGACAACUGUAAAGCUUUUAAAGAUACUAUGGCUUUUAUGAACCUCAUAAUCAUAUUGUAAGAACAUAGCCAGGACAGGUGUUUUUAUUUCCAUUUUAAACAUGAGAACAUUAUGUCUCAGGGGAGUAGUUUCUUGUCAAAGUGUCCUAAUGAAUGUUGGAACCAGUACUUGAAUCCAAAUCCUCUGACCUCUAACCCGGGAUAUCUUGUUUUACAGUUAAACAAGUGACCCCUGCUGAGGCCUUAGCACUGAACAAAAGGGGCCACACUGCUCUUCCCACCAGAGUGCUGACUCUUAAAUUAGGAAAAAGGACUCACUAUAUUGUGAGGAAGCCCACAAGAGGCCACAGGGAGAGAUCAUGCGGACAGACUGACGUGGACUAGAACUGAGGCCCUCAGACGACAACCAGCACCAGUGACCAGAAAUAGCACCAAUUCUGCAUCCUCCAAUCCCAACACACUCAGCAAUUGAUCAGAACCACAGGUUUGGAUCCUUCCCCUCUUUUGUGGCACUAGAGAUUGAACACAGGGCUUCAUGCA